rnacentral:tRNA from 1 species
GCCUCGAUAGCUCAGUAGGCAGCGCGUGAGUCUCACAAUCUCAAGGUCGUGAGUUCGAUCCUCACUCGGGGCA